rnacentral:rRNA from 1 species
CAGCAGCAGCCGCGGUAAUACGUAGGGUGCAAGCGUUAAUCGGAAUUACUGGGCGUAAAGCGUGCGCAGGCGGUUAUAUAAGACAGAUGUGAAAUCCCCGGGCUCAACCUGGGAACUGCAUUUGUGACUGUAUAGCUAGAGUACGGCAGAGGGGGAUGGAAUUCCGCGUGUAGCAGUGAAAUGCGUAGAUAUGCGGAGGAACACCGAUGGCGAAGGCAAUCCCCUGGGCCUGUACUGACGCUCAUGCACGAAAGCGUGGGGAGCAAACAGGAUUAGAUACCCGGGUAGUCCCUGUCUCUUAUAC